rnacentral:misc_RNA from 1 species
ACAGCCGCGGAGGUCGGACGUGUUGAGAGUUCGUCUGUGACACUCGGGGCUCUGACUCGCACCGUGAGAACUCCAUUGGUUUCUUCUCGGACAUUGCGCCGGUUAUUUGCGAUAUUUUGUCGUUGUUGUAUUUGUGAAGUGACAGUGACAGAAGGAAGAAAAAAAAGAGAGAGAGAUUGAAGGAAAAAGAAAGAGUAUCUCUAUGUUAAAAAAAGAGAAUAAUUUGUGAUGUGAGAACUGACACUUCCAAGGACAUAUCAACAUAUGGACUCGAAUGCUUUCGGAUAAGCGAAAAACAUAACGAGCAGAACGGCUUUGACAGAAAACAACGCGACCUUAUACUGCUACCCAAACGGCACUUGGUCUCGCAUCUCGUUCUAUAACGACUGCCUCAACGUCGUUAUGAACAACACUGAAGAGAGUGUUUCUACGACCGUCAGCACGAGCCAGACCAUCUUCUACAUCGGCAAUUCGCUGAGUCUCGUGGCAGUCACAUUGGCUCUCUGGAUUUUCAUCUCCUUCAAAGACCUGAGAUGCCUGAGGAAUACCAUCCAUACCAACUUGCUCUUCACGUACCUGCUGCACAACCUCUUCUGGAUCGUGUAUGCUUCGGUGCAGACGUUGGUCAACGAGAGCAUCGGCUGCACGUUCUUUGUGUCUCUAAGUUACUUCAAUUUAACCAACUUUAUGUGGAUGUUUGUGGAAGGACUUUACCUCUACAUGCUGGUGGUCAAAACUUUCUCUGUGGAAAACAUCAAGCUACGAGUCUACACUUUAAUAGGAUGGGGUAUACCCGUCGCCAUUAUAAUAACUUGGGUCAUCCUCAAAUCGAACUUGACAGUCGCGCACUCACCUCUUCCUCCUCGCCAACAGACCGGUCCCGAAUUAGGCAUGGAGAACAUAGACGUGGAAGGCCUCUUGAGAACUUGUCCUCUGAUGCCGGUCAGCCACGUCGACUGGAUUCAGAAAGUUCCCAUUCUCUUUUUCCUAUCCACCAAUUUCAUCUUCCUCAUGCGCAUAAUGUGGGUCCUCAUCACCAAGCUCCGUUCCGCCAACACGGUCGAGACGCAACGCUACCGGAAAGCGACGAAGGCUCUGCUGGUGUUAAUUCCUCUCCUCGGCCUCACCUACAUGCUGCUCAUCGCCCUGCCACAGGAGCUCGAACACGUCAGGGCCAUUCUGCUGUCUACGCAGGGCUUCUGGGUAGCGGUGUUCUUCUGCUUCCUGAACAGCGAAGUGCAGAACAGCAUCCGACACCACAUCGAGAGAUGGAAAACGGAGCGAGGAAUCACAGACCCGAGGAAUCCUUCGAUUAGACUGAGCAGGGACGGCUCUCCGAGACCCAGGACGGUCUGUUCCAGUUACGGCAGACGACUCUUUGGCAGCAAGAGGGAGUCCCUUUGUUCCGAAGUGACCACGAUGACCACCUACGUCGCCAACGGCUACAACCCCAACAACCAACAGGCGGGGAACCAAUUACAACCACAGCCACAACCACAGCAACUACAACCUCCUCUCUCGCCCACUCCCGUCAGCCAGCAGUCCGGCGUUCAGUUGCAACAGCAGCAGCCACAGCAGCCUCUCAAUCCUGUUAACAGUCAGACCGGCAUUCAGUUGCAAACUAGGAACCUCAAUGGAUCACACAACUCGAACUCGGGUCCUGUGGGUGGCGGAGAGCGAGGAGAAGGAGGAGAAGGAGGAGAUAAAGAAGGGGAAGGGCAGGGCGAGAAGAUCAUUAUCAAGGACUCGGUUUUGUAAGAAAAGGAGGAGAAAGAGGAGAAAAGAGGAAGAAGAAUAUUAUAAACGUCCAGUGGAGGAGGGAUAGAAAGGGAGGUAGAUUAUAAGUGAAGAGAAAAAAUAUAUAUAAGAACAAGGAAUAGUGAAAAAAAGCAUGAGUUGAAAAUACGAACAGGGUAUUUUCAAUUUGCAAGGAAGUGCGUCCAUAUAAAAAUAUAUGAUAAUUACACCUAUACCAAGGCUUUAAUCCACAGGCUGCGAAGCAAAUCCCCGAAAGACAGCAAAAAUUAGAAUCAAAAGCUUAGGCAAAACCAGCAAGGCAUCUCGAACAAAGAAAUCGACGUAGCAAUGACAGCAGGACUUCAAAAUAAAGAACGGACAUGAACAGGAACAUAGACAAACAGAGUUUCCUAAACCACAGAUACAAAAAAAUAACAAAAGAAAAGAAAAAAAGAAAGAAAUGUAAUAAUCAAAUCGCAGAAACAUCUCUCGCUUUAGAUAAAACAGUGUGAUAAGAACGAGAGGGAGAAAAAUGAAGUCAAAGGAUAAAAGAGGAGAGUGGAAUUGGGACCAUUGCUAAGCUGCGCGUUAAUCUAUAAGGUGAGAACCAGUGAUUUGUAUGUAAAGGGAUUGGCACGUGGCUUUCACUGAAUACUAUGGAGCUCAAGAUUAUAAGCUUAGGGUUAUUUCUCUUUUGUUUUUAUUCCUCGUAUUAUGAUUAUUAGAAAUUUUGUUUCCUUUCUUUCUUUUUUGGCUUCAUGUCGCCAACUGUGUAUAUAUGAUAUAUAUAUAUAUAUAAAUAUAUAUAUAAACUAAAGAUAGAUAUACACGUACAUAUAUGACUCUAUAUUCUACGAAAUCGGUUUUGCAUUGGUAUUUGAUGCGAGGACUGUAGGUACUUAGUGAAUGAUUCUCUAAUCGAGGGGAAUUGGAAAGGGGUUUCGUAACACACACACACACACACACACACACACACACACACACACACACACACACACACACACACACACACACACACACACACACAUUAUAGAGAUAAAUACAUAUAUA